AGCUUUUUUCGCCCAAGCGGAGCUGGACCGCAAAUCCCGGUAUUAGUCGACUUCAUUGAUGAGUACCGCAGUACGUACGGUGUCCAGUCGGUCGUGAGGUUGAGGUCGCGCCA
rfam:Spirochaeta americana strain ASpG1 genome assembly, contig: Ga0071122_134